rnacentral:rRNA from 1 species
GGUUAAGCGACUAAGCGUACACGGUGGAUGCCCUGGCAGUCAGAGGCGAUGAAGGGCGUGCUAAUCUGCGAUAAGCGCCGGUAAGGUGAUAUGAACCGUUAUAACCGGCGAUACCCGAAUGGGGAAACCCAGUGUGACUCGUCACACUAUCAUUAACUGAAUCCAUAGGUUAAUGAGGCGAACCGGGGGAACUGAAACAUCUAAGUACCCCGAGGAAAAGAAAUCAACCGAGAUUCCCCCAGUAGCGGCGAGCGAACGGGGAGGAGCCCAGAGCCUGAAUCAGCAUGUGUGUUAGUGGAAGCGUCUGGAAAGGCGCGCGAUACAGGGUGAUAGCCCCGUACACAAAAGCGCAUGUG